AAAUACAAGAGGCACAUUUCACAAUUUAAAAAAGAGACUUGGUUGAAAUCUCUGGCUAACAACCAGCUGACCAAAGAUCAGAUGAUGGUGAAAAACAAAGAGUUGGUGGGUGGCAAAUGCGAAAUCUCAUUGGUUUAACUUCAGAAACACCCAGUUCUCUUUAUUUUUCACCCAGUGUUCACAUAUUGCAUAUGACUUUGCACAUACGUAAACACCCACAGCCUACUUUCAUGGCAUAAACAUGCGCACACACAAACUUGUUUUUUGUUUUAGGAGGACAUGACAUUGAUUUACAUUCAUCCCCCUAACCUUAACCCCAAUCUUAACCUCAAACCCACUCUUAACUCAAACAUUUUCGUCACAGGAACCACACACACAGAGGUUUUUUAAGUUACUUUUGGGGUAUUUACAUGUGUGCAUUCACAUAGAUUUCCUGGAGGCUUACUUUAACAAUAACCACUACUUGCCUAACCCUAAUCCUUACCCUAACCUUAACCUAACCGUAAUCUCAACCCAAAAAACGCUGUUUAGCAAUAUUUGGACAUGGUCUCUAAUUGCACCAGACUGAUGGAUGUCCAUGGAAGUGACUUAAGUUAUAGCCACACACACAUACACACACACACGUUUGUCUUUAUAUCCUUGUGAGAACACUUAUUGGCAUUAUGCAUUCCCUCGCGCUUUACCAUCACAACUUAAUGCCUAAACCCAUCCUUAAACUGAACCUAAAUCAAAUUAAAACCAAGUCUAACCCUCAUAUUGCUCUUUGAAGUUUUGAGGACUGGCCAAAACGUCCUCACAAAUGUCAUCACAAUGCUCGUUUUCAGCUGAAAUUGGUUCUCUCAAAGAUAAAAAGACAAUUAUGUAUGCACACAAACACAGACACACACACACACACACAGAAAAACAACAAUUACAGGUAGACAGCCAGCAGGUCCUUAAACUCGUGCUUCGUGAUGCUUAUCAAAGAGGCAGAGUUCAGUGUGAUGCAACUGAGAGAAAGAUAUUUUGACAUACAUAACAAAACCUCAAACACAAGAAUAACAUAUCAGUUAACUUUUCAACACAGUAAAAUUUCUUUUGUGGUAAAAUAUCACAUGCAAUAGAAAAGGAACAAUGGAGGCAACUCAUUAUGGUCUUAUGUCCCACACAGGAUGAGGAGCAUUAGUAAGUAAAAUAUCAGAUACUGUAUUCAAUAGACUCAGUUUCUUUGCAAUGAUGUUGCUCUGUGGUCAAGGUUUAAUGACCGUACCUUAUUUUGUUGCAUGGUGGCAAAAGCCAACAGCAGCCCAAAGAGGGUGAUUUGCACCACAGUUCUCUCCAUGAUGGCUCCCACCAGAGUGAAACUCUGGCAGCUGAAACCGUCUUUUAAACUCAGACAGACGGGCAGAAUUAAUGGGUGCACCGUUUUCUAAAGGGCAGGGAACUCUCUCUCUCUCUUUCUCACUCUCUCUCCUCUUUAAACAAACCUCUCACUUGUAUACAUGCACAAACACACACAAAGCACACACACUUUCACACAAAUUUUGUAUGUUUCUCCUCUAUCAGGAACCACACAGCUAACAGGAUUUACUGGAUGAAAGGUCAGAAAUUCAAAUCAAACUUUACAAAGUUUUACUCUUGACUUUGGCCUGCGCAGUUCAAAGCUUUUCAACCAACAUUGGUUUCAAGUGA